UGGAAGCAGAUCGGCGGCCGCGGGGAGGUUCGGGGCGGCGCAGCCCCGCGCGGUUGUGGGAUCGCUCCCGGGGGCCGCUCCUCUCUCGGGCACUGGGGUCGCGGGAGACGUCGUCGGGAGCUCGGUUUCUGGAGGCCCUUCCCCACCCGGCCUCUGCCUCCUCCACUCCCCCGGGCUGGACGGAACGGGGCCCAGCGCGGGAUGCGAGAGGUAUGAUUUCGCUCUGUCGCCCAGGCUGGAGGGCAGUGGCGCAAUCUCGGCUCACUGCAGCCUCGAACUCCUAGGCUGAAGCGAUUCUCCCGCCUCAGCCUCCAAAGUAGCCGGUACUACAGGCGCGCGCCACCACGCCUGGCUAAGGUGUGUGUGUGUGUGUGUGUGUGUGUGUCUCCAAAGUAGCGAGGACUACGGGUGUGUGUGUGUGUGUGUGUCUCCAAAGUAGCGAGGACUACAGGCUCCCGCCACUACGCCAGGCUAAGGUAGGGUGUGUAUGUGUGUUAACUUUUUGUAGAGAUGGGAUCUCCCUUUGUAACACGGGCGCCCGCCACUAAGCCAGGCUAAGGUGGUGAAUGUGUGUGUGUGUGUGUGUUAACUUUUUGUAGAGAUGGGAUCUCGCUUCGUAACCCGGGCUGGUAUCGAACUCCUGUCUUCAAGGAAUCCUCCCGUCUGGACUCCUCCCAUGGGAUUACGGGCAUGAGCCACGGCACCUGGCUAUUUUUUUUUUCUAAGCAUUUAAAUAAGCUGGGGCUUGAUUUGGGAGUUUUCUAUUGUAUUUUGAGCUUUGCCGAGGACUUGAUAGUGACCUUGCUUUAAGCUGUGAAAUAAAUCUUGGGGUCCCAGAGCUAUUUUAAUAUUGAAUUCGCUGUGGAGUUGUUUUGAGUUCCUUGGAGGUUAACAUGAGAUAGAAAACUAAGUUAACACAACUCAUCGACUGCCCUUGCUUUGCUUUGCUUUGCUUUUAGAAUGCCAUCGGGUUUUGUCAUGUUGGGAACAAGUUAACUUAGGCCAGUUGACUAAGAUCAAGGUAUGUGAACAUGCCUGGCUGGGAGAGAAGUAGAGUAAAUGUUGGUUCGCAUUCCCUCCCGACGCCCACAAUGCCAGCCAUCCCUGACUUUUCUUGCCUUUAUUGGGAAGAAUAUAAGGUGGCAGAAACAAACUUCCCACCCUUUUUCCAAAUAUUUACUGAAGGAGUCUUGAGGAGAGUCUUGUGGGGUGGGGGGGUGGGGGUGGGAGCUGGGAAUGUUUUUGAACUAGUUCUUGAAAAAAAAACUAGUACAAUAGUACAACUGUCUUAAUUUUAUAUAUGAGGAAACUGAGGCCCAGAGAUGAAAUCAUGCCUUGAUUUAUGCAGACCUCAGUACCUGUUCGUGACAAAUCCAGUUACUAAAAGGUAAGAGAAGGAAUAAGGGACUUGAUAUUUAUCUAGCAUCAGCAAUGUGUGGACAUCGUGUGAACGGCUUUAUAAACAUUUCAUUUAAUUCUCUACAUCUAGCCAUUUUUUAACCUGUGCUUUCCCUCCCUCUCAAAGUACUGUUUAUACAUUUAUUAGUCCAUAUUUUAAACGCUCCAUGCUCUCAACUGUAUUAAUGCUAUUUGUUAGGAUAAGUGGCAGAUGUCCAUGGAAAAUAAGUGGCUGCAAAGUGGUAAUGCUGACCAGAUGAGAAAAGAAGUGUAAAAGGGAAGUUCUAAAGAAUUAAAGCCCUGGAGAGGGUGGGUAGACAACAACAGUCCAAAAUAGUGCUCUUCAUUGAGGCUGUGUAGAUUUUCCUGCUUCCUGGGAAAACUGGGGCAUAUUUACACUUGCAUGUGUGUAUUCAGAUUGUCUGGGGCUAUGGAGUUUGGGUCAGAUUGCUGAACCCGUGGGAGAGAAGUUCCCUUGUUGUCUGUUGUUGUCUGUUCUGAUUGCUGCUUUGUAAUUUGGGCCACAUAUGAAAGUCAGCAUCCAGUCAUUGGACCAUAGGUGUGUGGCAUAUCUACUCAGAUGCAUUAAGCUAUUUUUAUUUCAUUAUAAAAUGUAUAACAUUUACAUUCAAAUUAUGGUUUGAAGGGCUUAAGAGGAGAAAGAGACAGUGGCACUAAGGUGACAGCAUGGCUGGCUGCAUGCUUCCUGUCCAAGAAGGUCACUGGGCAGUGUUAACUGGGAAGAGCAUCUGGAGGAUGAGAGAUCAGUGUAGCCACAUACCCUUAACAAAGGGUGGUACAGCCUCUGGUCUGCCAGGAUUUUUGUGCCCCGCCCCCCUCCCCCUCUUUCCCUAUCUCCUCUUUGACAUUUCCACCAUAUUCCCCUUAGGUAUGUACCUGUUUGGACUUUAAUUUAGAGUGUAACUUUUGGUCAAGAAUCCUGGAGAGAAAAGACGGGUACUAAAGCCUCGCUAGUGAUUUACCUGGGUGCCGACCCCCACAACUCAUCCACCCUACAUGCAUACUUCAAACUCCUCCAGGCAGAUACUCCCUGCCUGACACACAGUGACACUUUGGGAAAAAUUGCAGAACAGUAACCAACUCUGAGCAGAUAAAUGUGAUGUCAAAAUGAUAGUAAUGAGAGAUGUCGUUCGUUGAAAGCCUGCUAGCUGCCAUGCACUAUACUAUUUCUUACAUCUAAAUCUGAUUAAGUUAUACCCCAUUUUAUAAAUAGACACUUUGAUAAGUAAACCUAUCUAAGAUCAAAAUACUGAGAAAUGUCCUAAUUGGGGAUUUGAACCUGGUUCUAAUUCCAAAGUCCAAGCUACAUCCACCCCAACCUCCUACCUCCUAUCUCCAAGACUUUGUGAGUAAAAAAACAAGUGUCACUUCUCUCCUUCUCUUUUUUCUGUCCUAAAGGAAGCUGGGAGCUAACCACUUAGGACUAGUACUAAUCUUUCAGAGAAAGGGAUGAGGGGAGCCUUGUUAUUUCUGUGGGGUUCAGCUCUCAGACCAGAGUAAGACAGGCAACAAGGUUGAGGAGUAGCCAUAUGCAGAAAUAACCUGUGUAUCUAGCCACAGGAUCUCCAACACUGUGUCACUCGGGAAUCAAAAUACAGAGACAGUUCCUCAAUAGAGUGUGGAUCUAGCCCAGAAUGUGGACAAGGGGAGUGGAGAAGGGGAGAGGUACACACUGAGCAUUGUAACAAGGCCUGUCCUCAAGCUUGAGGAGGAUUAGGAAGAUGGCUUGAGUCUGGGAGUAGGAGGCUGCAGUGAGCUAUGAUUGUACCACUGUACCCCAGCCUAGGUGACAGAGUGAGACCCUGUCUCUUAAAAGAAAAAAAAAAUUGACCUGGAUCUACUCAUACCCACCCUGGUCUUUGAGCAGAAAGAAUCAUUUGGGAAUUAUUUUGUCUCAUCUUUCUCCAUGAUCACUGUUGAAGAAUUUGGUCACUGUAACCAGGUAAAUAUAAAACUCAGGUGGGCCGGGCGCGGUGGUUCACACCUGUAAUCCCAGCAGUUUGGGAGGCUGAGGUGAGUGGAUCACGAGGUCAGGAGAUCAAGACCAUCCUGGCUAACACAGUGAAACCCUGUCUCUAUUAAAAAUACAAAAAAUUAGCCAGGCGUGGUGGUGGGCGCCUAUAGCUCCAGCUGCUCGGGAGGCUGAGGCAGGAGAAUGGUGUGAACCCGGGAGGUGGAGGUUGCAGUGAGCCGAGAUCGUGCCACUGCACUCCAGCCUGGGUGACAGAGCAAGACUCCGUCUCAAAAAAAACUCAGAUGAACUAUAGCUAAGUCAGUGCUCUUGACACUUUUUUAGCAAUAGUAGCUUUGUUUCUCACAGAAAAAACAAAAUUUUCUGUGGAACCACACUAUUUAAAACAUAAGCAAUAUUAGUAUCAACUUGUAUAAUUUAUAGAUCUACUGAUAAAAACAAUCAAGAAUAGUCUACCUUAAUUGAAUCAGGAGGAGAUAACUGCAGUCUUACAUCAGCCAUACUCGUAUCCAUGAAAUAUGAGUCAGUCAUUUGCACAACUCCCUGAGUCACCUUCUGGAACACAGAAAACACUGAGCCAAGUUAGCCCAGGACCUGAACCUUUUGUGGAAAGGAAAAUCUGUAGUGUCUCCUCAGAGUAUGGCUGCCCUUUCACCUGGUAGUCAGUUUCUCAUGACGGUUACUCGAGCAUUUAUAAGGCAGUUGUGAAAUAACCAAGACAUUCUGUGUGUUGUGCUACUGAUGCUCCUCCUGUCACCGACCUCCUCUCCAAAUGAGGCCUGCCUUUUGUCCUUGGUAGUAGGCAGUCCACAGUGUAACCAGCUACAGGGGAAGUAUUUACUUUGAUAGCCACUUGACCUUGAUCAAGUCAGGUGACUCAUUUCUGGAUAACAUUUUUGAGAGUAUACUGAGCCAGGCACCUUGAGGAUACGAAAGUGGAUUAUAGUUUCCAUUCUGGAGAAACUCACAGUCCAGUAAGUUAAACAAUCACAAGAACAAGUUUCCAGCAAUGAGAGUGAUUACAGCCACUGAGUGGUGAAAUCUGAGAAAUGCAAAGCCUGCCGCCUAUAAAUACCUACAUUUAUCGCCUGGGCAUAUACCUAAAAUUCCACCAUGAGAAAUAUAUUUAUAUGAAAUUAGAAACUACCCAGAAAUUGUGCGUCCAAAUAAAAAUUCCCACAAGAAAUAAGGAUGGCUAAUAGUUUUAAGUAGUAGUGUCAAGUCUUUUGGACCAGAGUAACUGCCAGGGACGUUGUGUUGAGGAUUCUGAGGUCAUGUUCCAGCUUAGCCGAGAAGGGAGCCACCAUGAGGGAACGAGUGAGGGAGGGUAGCACUUGUGCCCCAUAUUUUUUCCUAAGUAAAUCAUUUGUUGAUGGAAUGCAUGAUGAAACAGGGACAGCCAGGGUCUCUGGCAUCUGGGAGAAAGCCCACUUGGAAACUGAUUUAUCUACCUCACCACUGCAAGUUCACCAUUUGUCCCCAGACUAAAUGGCCUUAGGAAGCCCAGGCUCUGUCUUGUCGAACUCUACCUUCUUUAUCCUUCCAUACUUUUCAAGAAGAGAAAUGGUAUAUAUAUGUGGGAUCCUUGAGAACUAGGAUGUACCUGUGAGCAGGCAAAGUGUAGCAUCUAGCAGGGUCAGGCAUAAGUUGGAAGUGAGAGAGGUGGCUACUGUGCUCCCCAAUGGCUGUUCUCCCAUCUCCCAUAGUUUCAAGGCCUGUUUUGUGAGGAACAGCAGUAUGCCCAGCUCAAAGAUGACAGCUGGCCACAGGACUAAGUCUGGCCAAUAAGAUGUGAGUGGACGCUUCCAGAAAAGCUCUCUAAAGAGGCUACCUCUAGCCAGGCGCAGUGGCUCACGCCUGUAAUCCUAGCACUUUGGGAGGCCAAGGCAGUGGAUCACCUGAGGUCGAGAGUUCAAGACCAGCCUGGCCAACAUGGCAAAACCCCGUCUCUACUAAACAUACAAAAAUUAGCCGGGCAUGGCCGUGCCGCAUGCCUGUAAUCCCAGCUACUCAGGAGGCUGAGGAGGGAGAACUGCUUGAACCCAGGAGGUGGAGGUUUGCAGUGAGCUGAGAUGUUGCCACUGCACUCCAGCCUGCACGACAGGAGCGAGCCUCCAUCUCAAAAAAAAAAAAAAAAUAAAAGCUGCCUCUUCUCUGCUUCUUGGAGUAUGGUCAGGAUAGCUGGAAUUCUAGCAUCCAGUUUUGAAUGCCAAGUGACCUUGAAGAUAGAAGCCAUGAACUAAGAUAAUGUCCCUGUGUAAGCUUCUUUUACAUGAGAGAAAUAAACUGUGUGUAUAAAUCAUUGUUAUUUUGAAUUCCCAAGUUGUAUGCAGGCAAAUGUAAUCCCGAUCUAGCCAGGAAUUGGUAUUAUUCAUUGAUAAGAGCUUCAUAUAUUCAUGUUGACAGUUUUCCUUGAUUGGCCCCCAGAUGAUAGGUAUUGUGACCAAGACCUGUGGGGCUAUCAUGUGUACUUGGCUCCCUAUAGGAGAAUCCAGGAUGGAAUGGAAUGAUACAGUAGGCAGCCUCUGGAGCCAAGAUACGGUAUAGGUAGGAAAAAGAAAUGAUUCACCCAAGAGGCAGAUUAGGCCCAUGAAAAUUAGGAUUGUCAGAUGCAUUACUUUAAUACAGCACUUCUUCAGUAUUCCCAGAACUGUAGCUAAUGGUUCCUCUGAAUAGGAAGCUCCUUGAAUAUACCCUGGCAAGAAAUCUUUCUAUCCAAGGUGACUGGCAUUGGGAGGGGAUUUAUUGAGUGUCUCCCUCGAGCCAGGCACUUUCACAUACCUUAAUCUUAGUUAACUGGCUUCACUUCAGACCCUGUCCCUAACAGGACAAAACCCAACAGCAUUUUGAAAGCAAAACAGGGAUAGUUGAUGAGUUGUAUUAACGUACUUGUCUCUGUCUCACGUUAGUAACCUCCAAGGAACUCAAAACGCACUGCAGCUAUAAUUCGACAUUAAAAUAGCCCUGGGCCCCCCAGGAGCAGCUCAAUAGACCCUACUGAAGCAGGCGGUCCUGUCCCUCCCCUGCUUAAAAUCUGUCAGUAGCUUCUCAUUGUUUUUAACUAAAAACCCAGCCCACCUGACAGUCAGGUUGGCCUGCUCGCCAGGCUUUCUCCCCAGCUGCUCAAACCUGCUCACAACUCCCUCUGUGUCUGCCACUCUGGCCUCUCACUUUACUCCUGUGACCUCGUCCCUCUGAGCACCAUUCCUCCCCACCUCUGCAUGUCUUUAAUCUGACUUAAGCUUCAAGGCCUGGCACAAACAAUGCUUUUCCUUUGUCCUUCAUACUGGAGAUCAUAAACUCGCAUAGAUUCUCUCUGAAUAAAUAAAUAUUUUCCAUGCCAGUUAGCAUUUUUUUAAAACUAUAAUGACUGCAAAAUAUAUUGUAUUAGGUGUACUCUAACUUAUUUAACCUCUCCCCAAAGAAUGGACAUUUCAUUUGUUUCUUUUUCAGGAUGAUAAAAAACAGUUACGGGAUGAAAAAAUUUUUUUUUAUUUUUUAUUUUUAGUAGAGAUGGGGUUUCACCAUGUUAGCCAGGAUGAUCUCGAUCUCCUGACCUUGUGAUCCACCCAUCUGGGCCUCCCAAAGUGCUGGGAUUACAGGCAUGAGCCACUGCACCCGGCCGGGGAUGAACAUUUUUAUAUGCUAAUCUUUGUCAGCAUCUGCUCAUUUCUAUAAAAGGAAUCAUUAGAAUUGGAAUUCCUAGGUCAUUUUGACCAAAAAGGAACAUUUUUAAAUCUCUUAAUAUUGCCAUAUGACAUCUUAGAAAGUUUACAUCAUUUUACACAAAUAAUUGUUUCCUUAUCGAUGUUCCAAACCUAGAGAACUUUUGGUCAUUCUGUGAUCUGUAAUUGGAGAAAUUUCCAUUGCUCUAGCAGCAUUUUAUACAUACUUAUCAAGAUGUAUUAUGAUUUAUACACAUUUAUCAAGAUGUAUUAUGUUUUACUUGCAUUUCUCCAAGUAAGCUCUGAAGUGGAAAACAGAACUUGUUUUACUCUUUGUAGCACAGUACUGAGAACAGUAACACCUAACAGGCCCUUUCUAGGUAAAUCUGCAGAAACAGUAAUUGUCUCAAUCUCAGUUUCCCUGUGGUAGACCAAAAUAAAGCUUUGCAUACCUAACCUAGGGAAGCUGCAUACAGUUGGAGAGCUGGAUUCAACUAAACCUGGCCUGACAGCUCUUCAACAUGUUUUUCUUUUCCAAGUUCCACAUUGCUCACUGUGUCCUUUUAACACUCCUGUUUUUUAUUUUAUCCAUCACACGAAGUUGUAGUUGGUUCUGCCUGCAGUGUUUCUCCAUGAUGUAAUAUAACCUCAUUAUAUACACUCAGGAGCCUGAGAAAUGAGUAUCACAAACCACAGAGUCUUCUUGUUGCUUAGUUACUAUCCUGCAUUUCCUGGAGACUUUACCUUGGCAAAGUAUAUGAUGCUACGUUUUAAUGAAUGUUGAUUGGUCACUGUAUGAUAAAUGCCAGGAAAAACAAUGAAUGAUAAAAAGAAGUGUAAAUCCCACUCUUCUGCCUAUAUCCCAGCUCCAUUUUCACGUCUUUUGGUAUCAGCCCCAGGAUUUGGGGUCUUCUGUUUGAAAAUGAGAUCAGUUCCGUAACAUCUGUAUAGCUUUGCUUGCUAUGGUACUGGGCUGGAAAGAGGCAGGUCAAAGCGAGUGCCCCCCUCACUGGUGUGCCCUGAGGAUGCAGAGGCCCUCUUUGCCUGGUGAUAACACCUUCAAUGCCCGUUAGGGGGCCCAAAAUUGCCAGUUUAUUAUCCCUUUGGGACUGAUGCCUUAAAAUCUCAUUUUGUCUUUGAGAAGUGGUAUUUGGAAUAUUCACACAUCAAAGUGUUAUCGUUCUCUGCUAGCACAGUACCAGCUAGUUUAUCUUAGCCAGCUGGCUUACCUCUCAAGGCACUAAAGGAACGGAAAAACACAGGGCAAUCUCUGUAAGCCUCGUUCCUUCACUUGGUAACCUCUGAAAAGCUAGAGAGAAAGGACCAGUGAGAGAACAGGAUCAGCUCUUGCUGGGGGUCCAGCCAGGAGCCACCAUGGAGGGCCUGGAGCACUUAGAGGAAAACAUGGGGACAUCAGGUAUGCAGGAGAUCAGGCAAAAAACAGUAAAGUCAGCUUAGGAAAGACUCGUACCUCUCACCCCCACUGCCUCAACCUCCUCCAAAGUGUAGAGUUCAUAGCUUUUCCUUGGGAAGCUUCUGUGUAUACAGUGCUCAACAGAAGAGAGGAACAGGAUUUAGGUUACUAUCUUCCAUACCCUAAAAGUGAACAUUGUAAUAUUGCAAAUACAGUAGCAGAAGGAAAGCACUUCUCAGGAAGUAAAAAUACAUCUACUCCUGCUAACAGUUUUCUCCAUUCACAAAAUAUUACUGAUUUUUUUAAAAUUUGGAAAGAAUAUUAAUAUUCAUAGAUGUUAGAUUAGUUGGGCAAAAUAUGCUAAAAAUUGCCAUUUAAUUUAUAAUAGUGAAAAACAAUGCAACCUAAAUGCCCAUGAAUGAUAACUAAUUACAUACAGUGGACUACAAUGGAAUUCUAUGAAGUCAUAAAAAUAAGGAUGUACAUCUGUAUUUAUUGUUAUAGAAAGAAAGCCACGAAAUAUUGUUGAGAGAGAAAGCAGAUUGCAAAACUGAAUAUAUAUGCAAAGAGAUGUUUUUAGGGAUAUUCACUGUUAAACAGUGAUUAACUUAGUUGACUUUUUUUUCCUCUGUUCCUUCUUUUUUCUUUUUUACUUUAAAUAUUUAUCUUUUUUAAAAGAAAUAAUACAUUUCCUCCCUCCAAAAAAGAAUAGCCUAGCGAAAUAUUUUUACUUCAAAUGCUUUUCCCCUUAUUAAUCUUUGUAUAAACCAUUGUGGUUUGCUAAAACAAGGAAGGUUGUAGAGUAGAAUCCAUGCCCACGUUAGAACAAAAUCCAGGCAGGAAGACACUUCAUACGUGGUUAUAAGACCAGGAGGACGAGGAGACAAAGGGAAGCAAUGGUGUUUGUUUGUUUGUUUGUUUGUUUUAAGAGACAGUGUCACUCUGUCACCCAGGUUGGAGUACAGUGGCACCAUCAUAGCUCAGUGCAGCCUCCAACCCCUGGGUUCCAGCGAUCCUCCCACCUAAGCCUCUCUAGUAUCUGGGACUACCGGUAUGCACCACCACAUCCAGCCAAUUUUUAAUUUUUCUUUUUUUGAGACAGGGUCUUGCUAUGUUGCCCAGGCUGGUCUCAAACUCCUAGGCUCAAGCAAACCUCCCAAAGCACUGGGAUUACACGUGUGAGCCACCACACCCGGCCUAGAAGCAAUGGUUCUGAUCCAGGAAAAGUGCAGCCUGGAAACUCAGCAAUCUGUACAGAAUCCUAGCUCUUAGACUAAAAGGCAUCAACUGGUACAAUUUCUUGCCUUUGGGCACUGAACGUGUUAGCUUCUAUUUUAUUUAACUUACUGUAAAAUUAUAUUAGCUAUGCUGCCACUUAAGCCAAGAUGCUUUCUGUCUAGUCACUUCGGUUCCAUCCUUUUGAGCGCCCUGCCGUUUCAUUGCCUCUCCUUUCUCAUUCCUCUCCCCAAGGCUGUACUUUGAGUAACUGUAUGUGCAUUUUCCUGUGCCUUUUCAUUAUUAAAACACUGUAAAAGGUAAUGUCUCCAAAAUGCAAACCAUAGUCUUCUCCAUUGAAAAAUAUUUUCCAGGCCAGGCACUCCACUGUGCCACUGCACUCCACCUGGAUGACAGAGUGAGACUCUGUCUCAAAAAAAAAACAAAAAACUCAUUAAACUGUAAAAUGGGCGCAUUUUAUUUUAUGUAAACUGUAUCUCAGUAAAGUUUAUUUAUUUAUUUUUGAGACAAAGUCUUGCCCUGUUGCCUAGGUUAAAGUGCAGUGGCAUAAUCAUGGCUCCCUGCAGCCUUGAACUCCUGGGCUCAAGCGAUCCUCCUACCUCAGCCUCCUCCCAAGUAUUUGGGACCACGGGCAUGUGCCACCAUGCCCAGCUAAUUUUUUUUUAAGAGAUGGCGUCUUGCUAUGUUGCCCAGGCUGGUCUCGAACUUCUGACCACAAGAGAUCCUCCUGUCUUGGCUUCCCAAAGUUUUGGGAUUACAGGCAUGAACCACCAGGCCUGACCAAAGUUGAUUUUAAAAAAUGAAAGGGGGGCCAAGCGCAGUGACUCAACCCUUAUAAUCCCAGCACUUUGGGAGGCCGAGGCGGGUGGAUCACCUGAGAUAGGGAGUUCAAGACCAGCCUGAUCAACAUGGAGAAACUCUGUCUCUACUAAAAAAUACAAAAUUAGCUGGGAGUGGUGGCGCAUGCCUGUAAUCCCAGCUACUCGGGAGGCCUCAGCUUGAACCCUGUAGGCAGAGGCUGCAGUGAGCUGAGAUCACGCCAUUGCACUCCAGCCUGAGCAACAAGAGCGAAACUCUGUCUCAAAAAAAAAAAAAAAAAGGGUCUGUGCUUGGUGGCUCACACCUGCAAUCCCAGCACUUUGGGAGGCCAAGGUGGGUGAAUCACCUGAGGUCAGGAGUUCGAGACCAGCCUGGCCAACGUGGUGAAACCCCUCUCUACUAAAAAUAAAAAAAUUAGCCAGGUGUGAUGGCGCACGCCUGUAGUCCCAGCUACUCAGGAGGCUGAGGCACAAGAAUUGCUUGAACCUAGGAGGCAGAGGUUGCAGUGAGCCGAGAUCAUGCCACUGCAUUCCAGCCUGGGUGACAGAGUGAGACUCCAUCUCAAAAAACAACAAAAAUGAAAGGGAAAUAAGAGUCAUUACCAAUAUAAUUAGGUUUAAAUUUUUAGUUAAAAUCAAAUUUUAACUGGGAUUGCCAAAAAUGUCCUUAACUUCAUAUCUCCAAAUAAAAUGUCUGCAGUUAAUUUAUGUUGUUUAUACAGCUAGCUAAUUCUCUAUAUUUUUAUAGUAUGUUGACACUUAAAAUUUCAAUCUCUUCUAGUGGUUCCAUGAGUGGGACUGAGGGGAUGAUGGGUGUUCUCAUUAUAGCCUUCAGAAGGCUGCCUAUAUAUAAGUGUGCACAAAUAACUAUUAUUCAGAGAAUUAGAAUCAUCACAAAAUAUCCUUUAUGAAGGAUAAAUAUAGGCUAAUUUAUCCUUUAUGACUGUUAAAUAUAGGCUAAUGUUUCUUUUAUUCUUCAGACCCAUUUCAACUUUAUAGAAAAAAAAGUAUGCACAAAAGCAGCACUCUAUAAUUAAAAAAAAUUCCUUAUUGGUCUUUUGGAUUUUGGUUCUGCAUAAGUAUGAGUUUCUCAUCAGGCCUCUCUAGACUACUAAAGCCUAAAGUGAUGCUUCCCCCAUCUCAGCUCUUAGAGGAAUUACUGGGUGUCUUGUUUAUUUGGCAAUUCCGUGCUUACAAACUCUUUUCAAUGAGAUCUUCAGCUCCUUGAGACCACAGUAGAUACCUACGUAUUUGUCGGUGUAAUUUUGUUGUGUUGAUUUACUGAAUUCAAAGGGUUUGUACAAAUACUUUGUUUACAGGGUUUCAUUACAAAUCCAAAUAAGCUCAUAUGCUUAGUAAUUCCAAAAAUGUUAUAGGUAUUCAGAUUAGCAUUGCUCAUUCAUGCCAUUUAAUUUACAGAGCUCAGCUGCAGUAAUUUUCUCCAGUGGAUGAUGUAAGGAAGGCAUUGGCAGAGGAGUAAGAGACUUGGCUUCAGAGUGGGCAGUAAUAGGGCUAAAUCUGGUUUUACAAAGCAGGUACUGUAAAGCUCUCAUUGCCUUUCUGAGGACAAGGCUUUGAGCUAUGAGUGCCAGGGUCGUCUGUCUAAGUGGAGGCUUCUUAAAGGAAUUGAGCCUCGUUUCCUGGGUUUGAGGUGUAUUCUUUUUCACAUUCCCUUUGUACACCAAAUAUAUUUAGUAUUUAUUAUCUUUGAAGUUUAGACCUUUGGAAUUUUUUUUUUUUUUUGAGGCAAAGUCUCACUGUAGCCCAGGCUGGAGUGCAGUGGUGUGAUCUCAGCUCAUUGCAACCUCUGCCUCCUAGGUUCAAGCGAUUCUCCUAUAUCAGCCUCCUGAGUAGCGAGGACUACAGGCACGUGCCCACCAUGCCCUGCUAAUUUUUGUAUUUUUAGUAGAGACAGGGUUUCACCAUGUUGGCCAGGCUGGUCUCAAACUCCUGACCUCAGGUGAUCUGCCUUCCCUGGCCUCCGGACAUGCUGGGAUUACAGGUGGGAGCCACCACGCCAGGCCACAGUUUGAUGAGUUUUGAGAAAGUAAUAUACGCAUGUAACCACCAUCACCACAAUCAAGAUCUAGAACAUUUCCAUCACCCCAAAAUUCCCUGGUACUCGUCCCUGGUCCCAGGCAAGCCCUGAUCUGUUUUCUGUCACUGUGGAUCAGAUUUGUCUUUUCUAGAGUCUCAUAAAAAUGUGAUCUUAUAAAAUGUAUAGACUCUUGUGUGUAAGGUUUCUUUUCCUCAGCAUAAUGUUUUUAGACUUGUCUAUGUUGCAUGAAUGAGUGGUUCAUUUCUGUUUAUCACUGAGUAUUUUUCCAGUGUAUGUAUAUACCACAAUUUGUUUAUAUACCACAAAUGUUGAUGGACAUUUAGGCUUUGUCCAGUUUUGUCUAUUAUGAAUAAAGCCAUUAUGAACAUCUAUGUACAAGUUUUUGUGUGGACAUGUUUUCUCUUGGGUAAAUAUCUAGGAGUAAGACUACUGGGUUGUAUGCUAAGUGUAUGUUUAAUUUUAAAAGAAAUGCCACCGCACCCAUCCAAGUUUUACCUUUUAAGCUUAGGUACAUGAUCCAAUUUGAGGUGAAUUUUGUGUAUGAGUAAGUUAAUAAUCAAUGUUCAUUUUUUCCCAUAUGGAUAUCCAGUUUUUCCGGUACCAUUUGUUGAAAAGACUGUCUUUCCCCUAUUGACUUACUGUGGCCACUUUGUCAAAAAUUACUUGCCCAUAGACAUGCGGGUUCAUUUAUUUUGUUCCAUUGAUCCAAAUGUUGAUCCUUUAAUAAUAAUGUAGCUUUAUAGUCAGUCUUGAAAUUUGAUAGUUUGAAUAUUCCAACUUUGUUGUUCUUUUUCAAAAAUUUUUUGCAUUCUAAGUCCUUUGUGUUUUUAUAUAAAUUUUAGAAUAAGUUAUGUAAGUGCCUGCUGGGAUUUUCUUUUUUUUGAGACAGGGUCUUACUAUGUCACCCAGACUGAAGUGCAGUGGCAUGAUCACAGGUCAUUGCAUCCUCAACCACCCAGACUCAAGCAAUCCUCCUGUCUCAGCCUUCCAAGUAACUGAGACCACAGGUGCGUACCACCACACCUGGCUAUUUUGCUGCUGUUUGUUUUUGUAGAGAUGGGGUUUCACCACAUUGCCCAGGCUGAUCUUGAAUUCCUGGGCUCAAGCAGUCUUCCCACCUCAGCCUCCAAAAGUGCUGGGAUUAUAGGUGUGAGCCAUCGUGCCCCACCCCUGCUGGGAUUUCAGUUAAGAUUACAUUGUAUCUGUGGAACAAUUUGGGAAAAAUGGUCAUCAUCAUAUUUAGUCUUGUAGUUCAUAGACAUAGUAUAUCUCCAUUUAUUUGCGUCUUUAAUUUUCAGCAUAACAUUCAGCAAUGUUUUUAUAGUUUUAAUUGUAUAGGUGCCUUGCAUGUAUUAUGUUAAAUUUAUCCCUAACUAGUCCAUGUUUUUGAUACUAUAGUAAAUGGUGUUUGUGUGUGUGUGUGUGUAUUUUUUUUUUUUUUUUUUAGACAAAGCCUCACUCUGUCACCCAGACUGGAGUGCAGUGGUAUAAUCAUAGCUCACUACAGCCUUGACCUCCUGAGCUCAAGCAGUCCUCCUGUCUCAGCCUCCCAAGUAGCUGGGAUGACAGUGUGCACCACCACACCCAGCUAAUUUUUUUUUUUUUGGUCUUGCUGUGUUGCCCGGGCUGGACUCAAGUGAUCUUCCCUUCUCAGCCUCUCAAAGUGCUGGAAUUACAGGCAUGAGCCACCGUGCCCAGCCAGAGGUAUUGUUUUUGAUACUAUAGUAAAUAUUUUAUUUAAAUUUCCAGGUGGUUAUUGCUAGUAUGCAGAAAAUAUUUUUUUGCAUUAACCUAUGCUAAAGUCACUUACUAUUUUGAUUUGCCUUUCAUAAAGAUUCCUUAAAUGUUUCUACAUACACAAUCAUGUCAUCUGCAGAUAGACAGUUUUAUUUCUUCUUUUCAAUCUGUAUGGUUUUCUUUGCCUUUUUCUUGCCUAUUGUACUGGCUAGGACUUCCAGUGUAAUGUUUAAUAGAAAUCCUGAGACUGGACAUCCUUGCCUUAUUUUCAAUCUGAGGAGAAAGCAUUCAGUUGUUCAUCAUUAACAGACAAUGUUAGCUGAAGGUUUUUCAGAGCUUGUGUACUCUACCAGGAUGAAGAAGGUCCCUUCUAUUUCCAGUUUGCUAAGAGUUUUAAAAUUGUGAAUGGAUGGCGAAUUUUGUUAUUUUUCUGCAUCUAAUAAGAGAAUCAUAUAUGGUUUUUCUCCUUUGUUCUGUUAAUAUGGUAGGUAUGUUGAUUUUUUUAGUGUUAAAACAAGCUUGCAUUCUUGGGAUAAACCCCACUUAGUCAUGAUGCAUUAUCCUUGUUAUAUAUUGCUGAAUUCAGUUUGCCAAAAAUUUAACUAAGGAUGUUUGCAUCUGUAUUCAGUGAGGUAUACUGUAUUCAGUGAGGUAUUCCUUUCAAUGUCAUUGUCUGGGCUCAGACAAUGACUAGAGAAGUCAUCUUUCUUUGUUUUUAGAAUGAGUUUGUGUGUGUUUGUUAUUAUUUUUCCUUAAAUAUUUGAUAGAAUUUACUGCUGAAGCCACCUCAGUCUGAAGUUUCUUUGCAGGAAGUUUUAAUUCAUAAUUAAAUUUCCUUAGCAUAUAUAGGGCUUUUUUCUUUUUUCUUUUUUUGAGACAGAGUGUCACAGUGUCUCCCGGGCUGGAGUGCAAUGGCGCGAUCUCAGCUUACUGCAGCCUUUGCCUCCCGGGUUCAAGCAAUUCUCCUGCCUCAACCUCCCAAGUAGCUGGGAUCACAGGCGCCUACCACCAUGCCCAGCUAAUUUUUUGUAUUUUCAGUAGAGACAGGGUUUCACUAUGUUGGCCAGGCUGGUCCCAAACUCCUGAGAUGAGGAUAAUUUUUUGUAUUUUUAGUAGAGACGGGGUUUCACUAUGUUGGCCUGGCUGGUCUCAAACUCCUGACCUCGUAAUUCACCCACCUCGGCCUCCCAAAGUGCUGGGAUUACAAGUGUGAGCCACCGUGCCUGGCCUUCUUUCUAGUUUCUUGAAUCACUAUGGUUAAUCUGUGGCAUUCAACCAAUUUGUCCAUUUUAUCUAUGCCAUUGAAUUUAUUUACAUAAUUAUAAUCUUUUUUUGUUUUAAUGUCUGCAAGAUCUGUGGUGAUAUCUAUUUCAUUCCUAAUGUUGGUAAUUUUUUCUUUUCCUGCUUGCUCUUAUUGUUUGUUUGUUUGUUUGUUUGUUUUGAGAUAGGUUCUCAUUCUGUCACCCAGACCAGGCUGGAAUACAGUAGCGAUCAUAACUCACUCAGCCCCAAACUCCUGGUCUCAGGCAGUCCUCCUGCCUCAGCGUUUCAAAUUGUUGGGAUUACAGGCAUGAGCCACUGUGUUCAGCCUCUUUUAAUUCCUAUAUGUAUUAGCCAGUUGAGGUGGCUUGCUUGAACCCAAGAGUUCUGGGCAACACAGCAAGACCUCAUCUCUACAAAUAAUUUUAAAAAUUAGCUGGGGCAUGGUGGCGCACACCUCUGGUCUCAGCUACUUGAGAGGCUGAGACAGGUGGAUCACUUGAGCCCAGGCAGUCAAGGCUUCGGUGAGCCGUGAUCCCGCCACUGCACUCCGGCCCAGGUGACACUAUGAGACUCUGUCUCAAAAAAAUAAACUAUAGAAAAUCUGAGUAGCCCUAUAUGUAGUAAGGAAAUUUAAUUAUCAGUUAAACUGUCACCUGGGUAACAGAGUGAGACCACGUCUCAAGGGAAGGGGAGGGGAGGGGAGGGUCUUGUAUUUAUUAUUUCCUUCCUUUUACUUGGUUUUACUUUGGUUUAAUUUGGUUUACAUUGGUUUAAUUUGUUCUUCUUUUACUAUUUUUUUUUUACUGAAUCAUCAUUAUUGUUCUACCACUCGAAUCACCGCAUUGCUGUUGCUAAAUGACCAAUAGACCAACAGAUCCUUCCAUAGAAACAAAAAAAAGCCCUUGCUUUUCAAUAUUACCAAAGGGAAACAUAUAGUCAGAACUGCAAGAAAACUGCCUUGUGAUCCGGCUUCUGUCACAUUUUAGUUUACAAUACAGGAGCAUAAAGUAGCUACUCAACUACCUCGAAAAUAAGAGAAUCAUUUACCUUUCUGUAUAUAACCUAAUUAAAACCAUGUCAGAUCCAGCAAAACUGAUUUUCAUCUCUCCUCAGUAGAUAUAGGAGUAUAUAUUGAUAUUUCUACUUCAUGACUAGAUAGGGGACUAAAUUAAAAUUCGCUACUCAGUUCUCAGUUGUAAGGCCCACAGUUGCACAUGGGUAGGUGGGUAGUUGCACAUGCACAGAGUUGGUGGUCACAACUCUGCUUUCUUGCCCUUCUGCUUAACAUGGAGCUAUUUAAUCUUAUUUAUUUAUUUAUUUAUUUAUUUAUUUAGAAAUAGGGUCUGCUCUGUCACCUUGGCUGGAGUGCAGUGGCACAAUCAUGGCUCACUGCAGCCUAGAACUCCUGGGCUCAAGUGAUGUUCCCACCUUAGCCUCCUGAGUAGCUGGGACUAUAGACACACACAACCACGCUCUGCCAAUUUUGAAAUUUUUUGUAGAAAUGAGGUCUCCCUAUGUUGCCCAGGCUGGUCUUGAACUCCUGGCCUCAAGCAGUCCUCCCACCUCAGCCUCCCAAGUGCUAGGAUUACAGGCAAGAGCCACAGCGCCAGGCUGGAACUAUGUAAGAUAGCACUUAGCCCUGCAUGUAUGUGUUACUAACAAUGGUUGUGUAGAUCACUCCUCCAAAGGGAAAGUCUCUCUAGAUGGGUUUUUGCCCCAAUUAAGCAAUAGCUUCCUCCAAACGGUGCUCACCUAUCCAUUGACUGCGAUAUUUGAAGACAAAGUGAGUCUUCACUCACCAUCACCAUUCCCCACGUCCCCUUUCCCUGGGAGCGCACACACUUAGGAGGGCAGUGCUGCUUCCUCCACAGCAGUGACAGCUGGCCAGGAUUUAUGAAAUGUCUCUCAAGGAAAUGUGCUCUCUUCCAUGCUCAGAGAUGCCACGUGGUCACAGUGCAGUCUUCAUGCAGUUGUAGCUUAGACUUCCAGAUUCAAAGGUCAGAAACCAGCUUGGAAUUUUCCUGGUCCUAACUCAAACCUGGCAUAAGUCAAAGUUUAAAUCCAACAGGUUCCAAAGGAAAUCAGAUUAAACACAUGUGCUGCUUGGUCAUGCAAGGACCCUGGAGUAGAAAAGUAGGUAUUGCCGUCUUGGUCAUGAAAGCCACAACAUCACCAGCAAGAGGACAGGCACUUAGAUCUGUUCACUGCUGUGCCCUCAACUCCUGGAAUAGGACCUGGUGCAGAGUGUGAUCAGAAAGUAUUUAUUGAGUUUCAGGUACAGUGGCUCAUGCCUGUAAUCCUAACACAUUGGAAGACCAAGGUGGGAGGAUCACUUGAGCCCAGGAGUUUGAGACCAGCCUGGGUGACACAGGGAGACCCUAUCUCUAUAAAAAAUAAACUUAAAAAAAAAUUGGGCCCUGCACAAUGGUUCACGCCUGUAAUCCCAGCUCUUUGGGAAACUGAAGCGGAUGGAUCAUCUGAGGUCAGGAAUUCGAGACCAGCCUGGCCAACAUGGUGAAACCCCCAUCUCUACUAAAAAUAGAAAAAUUAGCCGGGCGUGGUGGCGGGCACCUGUAAUCCCAGCUACUCGGGAGGCUGAGGCAGGAGAAUCACUUGAACCCAAGAGGUGGAGGUUGCAGUGAGGCGAGAUUGCACCACUGCACUCCAGCCUGGGCAACAGAGCGAGACUUGGUCUACACGCUUUGUAAUCUAAAACAUUCUCUACCAAUACCUCAAUCAGUGAAUUCUUGCUUUAUUGAUACAUUCUAGUAUUCAGUUGUGAUUUUAAUAUGCUAUUUUGGUACUUUCUGCUUUCAGUUUUCAUUGCUGUGGCUAUUGCCUUAAACAGAAACAAAAAACUAAAACAAUUUUACAACCAUCCAAAAGAGGCUUGGAAACUUUUUUUUGGCUGGAUAUCCAUAGCACAAUUUAAUUCAGUAAACAUAAACAGUUAAAAUUAUUCCAGUACACAACCAUGUUUUAAAAAAGAGAUUACACCCAAUUUUGGCAACAACACCCAGGAAAUAAGCAUUCUUUUACAUUUGGUUCAAACUUUCUGAAUGGCAGUUGUGCAACACUUGUUGUGAAAAACUUUAGAAUAUUAUAAACAUGUUAAUCCUGUAUUUCCAUUUCUGUGAAUUCAUCCAAAAGAAAUAACCAUGGAUAUGGGUAGAGACAGAGCCAUAUGGAAUGCACACUGCAGUGGUGAACACAUGGCCCAGCUCUGCCAUCAAGGAGAAGGUGAGAACAUGGGGGAAGAUUUUAUCGAAGUUUCUUUUCUGGGGCAUAUGCUCAGGUUAAACACCUGCUCUGUAUCUCUAGCUUCUGACUCCUACCCCUGGCCAGCUCUGUUACUCUAGUACACUGCUAGGCAGGCAGAGUAUGGCCAAAGUAUUCACAACAGUGCAUCACUAAAUCAACUGGGAUCCACACAAUGGAAUAUCCUAAUGCAUCAUUAAAAAUCACAUUGUAAAAGAAGAUUUUAUAACAGAAAAAAAUGCACUGUAUAUGAUACAUUUUUAAAAUGUUACUUAUGCCAGUCACAAUAAAAGACAAUUACACUUAUAUGGGAUAGAGUAGUCAAUAUUAUAGAGACAGAAGGUAGAAAUGGGUCUGGGUGGAAAUUAGAAUGAGAUGUUCUUAGCAUUCCAGUUUUACAAGAUGAAAAGAGUAACGGAGACAGAUGGCAGUGGUGGUUGCAUGACAUUAUGAAUGUACAUAAUUAAAAAUGGGUAAGAUGGCACAGUGAGAUACCAUCUCACACCAGUCAAAAUGGCUAUUACUAAAAAGUCAAAAAAAUAACAGAUGCUGGGGAGCUUGUAGAGAAAAGGGAAUGCUUAUACACUGCUAGUGGCAGUGUAAGUUAGUCCAGCCACUGUGGCAAUUCCUCAAAGAACUUAGAACUAUCAUUUGACCCAGCAAUCCCAUUACUGGGUAUAUACCCAAAGGAAUAUAAAUUGUUCUGCCUUAAAGACACAUGCAUGUGAUUGUUCAUUGCAGCACUCUUUAUAAUAACAAAGACAUGGAAUCAACCUAAAUGCUCAUCAACAGUAGACUGGAUAAAGAAAAUGUGGUUCAUAUACACCAUGGAAUACUAUGCAGCCAUAAAAAAGAAUGAGAUUAUUUCCUUUGCAGGAACAUGAAUGGAGCUGGAGGCCAUCAUCCUUAGUGAACUAACACAGGAGCAGAAAACCAAAUACCACAUGUUCUCAUGUGUAAGUGGGAGCUAAAUGAUGAGAACACAUGGACACAAAGAGGGGAACAACAGACACUGAAGCCUCCUUGAGGGAGGAGGGUAAGAGGAAGGAGAAGAUCAGAAAAGAUAACUACCAGGUACUAUGGUAGCUUAGUACCUGGGUGAUGAAAUAAUCUGUACACCCAACCCUCAUGACAGAAGUUUACCUGUGUAACAAACCUGCACAUGUAUCCCUGAAACUAAAAGUUUUUUAAAAAGUUAUUUAAUAUAUAUAUAUUUUUUUGAGACGGAGUUUUGCUCUUGUUGCCCAGGCUGGAGUGCGGUGGCGCAAUUUCGGCUCACCACAACCUCCGCCUCCCAGGUUCAAGCUAUUCCCCUGCCUCAGCCUCCCUAGUAGCUGGGAUUACAGGCUUGUGCCACCACGCCGGCUAAUUUUGUAUUUUUUGUAGAGACGGGGUUUCUCCAUGUUGGUCAGGCUGGUCUCGAACUCCCGACCUCAGGUGAUCCACCCCCCUCGGCCUCCCAAAGUGCUAGGAUUACAGGCAUGAGCCACUGCGCCCGGCAAAAAGUUAUUUAAUAUUAAUGGGACAAUACUCAUUGCAAGAAUCAGACUUCAAUUGCUAGCAUAAGUAAAUGACAGGCAGGAGAUAUUGAAAAUGCAAUCUUAUAGACAUUCAAGGAGAGGACGCAGGACAUUUCUGUGUCAUAAAUGUACUAUGGAAAAUAAAAAUGAGAAAAAUGGAAAUAAAAUACAAGAAAAGGUUAUGAUAAAUUUCAUAUUAUUUUACCACAAUAAAAAAAUUUUAAUAAAUUAUAAAUGGUGUGAUAUGUUUUGCCUGUGUUCCACCCAAAUCUCAUCUUGAAUUAGAGCUCCCACAAUUCCCACGUGUUGUGGCUGGGACCCUGUGGGAGAUAAUUGAAUCAUGGGGGCAGUUUACCCCAUACUGUUCUCUUGGUGGUGAAUAAGUCUCAUGAGAGUUGAUGGUUUGAUAAGGGGUUUCCCCUUUUGCUUGGCUCUCAUUCUCUCUUGACUGCCACCAUGUAAGAUGUGCCUUUUGCCUUCCACCAUGAUUGUGAAGCCUCCCAGCCACAUGGAACUGUGAGUC
rnacentral:lncRNA from 1 species